rnacentral:rRNA from 1 species
GAUUAACGCUGGCGGCGUGCAUAACACAUGCAAGUCGAACGAUGAAACUUAAAUGAAUUCUUCGGAAUGAUUUUAAUUGGAUUAGUGGCGAACGGGUGAGUAACGCGUGAGUAACCUGCCUUACACAAGGGGAUAGCCUCUGGAAACGGAGAAUAAUACCCUAUGAAACUAUCUUAUCGCAUGAAAAGAUAGUCAAAGUGUUUUAGCGGUGUAAGAUGGACUUGCGUCUGAUUAGCUAGUUGGAGAGAUAACAGCCCACCAAGGCAACGAUCAGUAGCCGGCUUGAGAGAGUGUACGGCCACAUUGGGACUGAGACACGGCCCAGACUCCUACGGGAGGCAGCAGUGGGGAAUUUUGCACAAUGGGGGCAACCCUGAUGCAGCGACGCCGCGUGAUUUAGAAGGCCUUCGGGUUGUAAAAAUCUUUUGUAUAGGAAGAAAAUGACAGUACUAUACGAAUAAGGUCCGGCUAAUUACGUG